rnacentral:rRNA from 1 species
GACGAACGCUGGCGGCGUGCCUAAUACAUGCAAGUGGAACGCACAGUUUAUACCGUAGCUUGCUACACCAUAGGCUGUGAGUUGCGAACGGGUGAGUAACGCGUAGGUAACCUGCCUGGUAGCGGGGGAUAACUAUUGGAAACGAUAGCUAAUACCGCAUAAUAUUGAUUAUUGCAUGAUAAUUGAUUGAAAGAUGCUAUUGCAUCACUACCAGAUGGACCUGCGUUGUAUUAGCUAGUAGGUGAGGUAACGGCUCACCUAGGCGACGAUACAUAGCCGACCUGAGAGGGUGAUCGGCCACACUGGGACUGAGACACGGCCCAGACUCCUACGGGAGGCAGCAGUAGGGAAUCUUCGGCAAUGGACGAAAGUCUGACCGAGCAACGCCGCGUGAGUGAAGAAGGUUUUCGGAUCGUAAAGCUCUGUUGUAAGAGAAGAACGGGUGUGAGAGUGGAAAGUUCACACUGUGACGGUAGCUUACCAGAAAGGGACGGCUAACUACGUG